rnacentral:rRNA from 1 species
UACAGAGGUCCCAAGCGUUGUUCGGAUUUACUGGGCGUAAAGGGUGCGUAGGUGGUGAGGUAAGUCUGAUGUGAAAUCUCCGAGCUCAACUCGGAAAUGGCAUUGGAAACUACCUUGCUAGAGGGUUGGAGGGGGGACUGGAAUACUUGGUGUAGCAGUGAAAUGCGUAGAUAUCAAGUGGAACACCAGUGGCGAAGGCGAGUCCCUGGACGACUCCUGACACUGAGGCACGAAAGCUAGGGGAGCAAACAGG